rnacentral:rRNA from 1 species
GAUGAACGCUGGCGGCGUGCCUAACACAUGCAAGUCGAACGGUCACCCUUGGAUUCGUCUGGGGGUGAGAGUGGCGAACUGGUGAGUAACACGUAGGUGACCUGCCCCGGAGAGGGGAAUAACUGCUGGAAACGGUGGCUAAUGCCCCAUGUGCUCGUAGAUUCGUUUCUAUGAGUAAAGCUUCGACGCUCCGGGAGGGGCCUGCGGCCCAUCAGGUAGUUGGUAGGGUAACGGCCUACCAAGCCGAUGACGGGUAGGGGGCGUGAGAGCGCGAUCCCCCACACUGGCACUGAGACACGGGCCAGACUCCUACGGGUGGCAG